CUUCCAAAGUUGGAGAAAGCUGCCAGGCUCAGGUCUGAAGGCCAGAAUUCUACAGUAAGUCCUACUGAGUCAAGGUGGGAGCAGGGUCGGUGGCUUCCGAGGCUCUGCGGGAGAAUCCGUUUCCUGGCCGUAGAGGUGGCCUGCACUCCUCAGCUUGUGCUGCCCGUCUCGAAUGACUGGAGUUUCCUGCUUCUGUCACUACACCUCCCACCCUCUCCAUCACCUGCUCUGCUCUUACAAGGAUCCGAAGAAAUGGAAUCAUCGUAUCGCUGAUCUACGUAAACAAACUGAAGAAUUGUCUGAAAGAAAAUAUGACAUGAACUUAUGAAUUCAACAGGUGAAGAUUUACAACUUGAUAAAUCAACUUUGUGAGAGCCACCUAAGCUGAAGAUUCCCUUGAGAACAAG
rnacentral:lncRNA from 1 species